rnacentral:sRNA from 1 species
GCUGGGCGCGAUGGCUCACGCCUGUAAUCCCAACACUUUGGGAGGCUGAGGUGGGCGGAUCACCUGAGGUCAGGAGUUCAAGACCAGCCUGACCAACAUGGUGAAACCCCGUCUCUA